rnacentral:tRNA from 1 species
GCAUUUAGCCUAGUGGUUAAGGAGUCCCUCUGUUCAAUGGAUGAACAAUGAGGUUGUGGGUUCAAUUCCCACUGUGAAACC